rnacentral:misc_RNA from 1 species
AGUACCAUCGAUCAUAUUUAAUUUUUUGAUCGGAUAUGGGCCGUUUGCGGUCGUUCUGGGCGCCAGCCUGAAAUUGAGAUUGGUUUUCGCUUUCGCCCCAUUUUCAAAGGCGUCAUAGUUGGCCUUUCAUGGUCAUCUUUCACCCGAGGGGAGGGAGAAUGAUGAAAAGCGAGGGCGGGAAGCCGCCCAAAAAAUUUCUUUUUCU